rnacentral:lncRNA from 1 species
CCAGUAAGCUCUUUUUAAAGCCCAGCCAGGCGACUAGGGCCUCCCCUCAGCAGCAGGCACCGAGAACGUGGCCACUAGAUGUUGCUGCCGGCCAGGCCGAAGCAGCUUCGUCCUCUCCCAGAGCCACGAGGUGUUUCCCAGGGAGGAAAAGCAUUCAGGAUCGGUGAGAAAUGGUGCUUUUUGUAGUCUCCGGAGGAUCGCCCUCGCUAGCCACGCUGAUAGGCUGCCCACACGCACGGAGGCUCGGCCGCCAUCUGCUGCGCUUCAUCCCUUCGCCUCCUUUCUGCAUCCUAGAUGGGGCUCCCCUCCUUGAGAACGAUCCGGGGGGCAGCUGAUUGCCACCAGACCCUCCGGGGAAGGAUGGGAAGCUCUGGCUCGGUGCGAGUUUGGGUUUCCUGUGCUGUGGUUGCGAGCUCUGCCCACCUGCUGCUCAAAUCAAACGGCGUGGAGGGAGGAUAUUCUCAUAACAUCAAACGACAUACCAGAGGAGGAUAUUCUUGCUUCCAAUGGCCACAGCUGGAAAAAAAACCCCAGCCCUGACCUACGAGUGAGCACACACAAGUGAAGGGUCCCGGUGUGAGGAGCAGCCCAGCCUGGUCACAGCCCCAGAACUGGGUAAGAAACCCUCCUGGAGUCAUCAGCGUUGAACCAGGGAGCUCAUCUGUGCCACUGCACAUCCCUCUGCCCCCUCCCCACCUUGGCAGAGAGCUGGCACUGGGGCUGGCCCCACUGCAAGGGCUAAAACCCACCGUGGGAGGAGCGGGGCUGCCUACAUGACACCAUUUUGCUGGAAGAGGAUCAAGCACCCACCUGGCGUGAGUUUGAGGGUCCCAGCAGGAUUGCAGCAGGUAGAUGUGUUGAGCUGCUUAAAAAAAAUAAGACAUGGAGAUUUCAGACCAACCUGUGGCUCUGCCAGGCUGUGCUAAAAUGUCUAACUGAGCCCCCUCGUGUGGGAGAUGAGAUGGCCCCAGCCAUUAAAACGCAGCCACGUAUUUAAAGCUUAAGAGGGAAGGUUUAAUGGAUAAAGUCAAUUUAAUUAUUCAUCCUAAGAAAGCUUGUACAAAUAUCAAAUACUUAUUAGUAUUCAUGCAACCUGUAUGAUCUCACAACACUGACAGAUUAAAGGUUGUAUCUAAUUGCACUGGGGAUGGAUUCAGAGUUGGUUGGGUUUUUUUUUUUUUAAAUGCUUUUUUUUUUUUCUCCCCAGCCUGACAAAGAGAAUUUCAGAUUAAUGCCAUCUGAGAUGUAACCUUGAAACAGAGACCAUCUGAAGUCUCUUCAAAUCACUUUGUGAUGGUUUCCUCUGCCCCUUCCUCAACAUGGUUGUUUUUAAUCCUCGUUUUAUCCCUGUUCCUUGAACGCUGCCGAAGCGGCGUGGGGCGAGCCCGGACCAACGCAGCGCUGCCGUCCCUGUGGGCUGUGGGUUUGUUGAAGCGGGGAGCAGUGGGGCAGAGUCUGGCUGACAAAUGGACAUGACUGAAUUAUCGUUAAAAAUGCAAAAUAGAAAUUGAUCCAAUUAAACAAUAAUGACUUGCAUUUACCCUGCGCUUCUCCCUUCCGAUCUUAAGCAGCGCAACCCUUGCCGGCAGCCUGGUGGAAACUGCUUAAUGCUGCAGAGGGUCAAUCAGCA